CAGUAGCCACGGUAAUACGGAGGGUGCAAGCGUUAAUCGGAAUUACUGGGCGUAAAGCGCACGCAGGCGGUCUGUCAAGUCGGAUGUGAAAUCCCCGGGCUCAACCUGGGAACUGCAUUUGAAACUGGCAGGCUAGAGUCUUGUAGAGGGGGGUAGAAUUCCAGGUGUAGCGGUGAAAUGCGUAGAGAUCUGGAGGAAUACCGGUGGCGAAGGCGGCCCCCUGGACAAAGACUGACGCUCAGGUGCGAAAGCGUGGGGAGCAAACAGGAUUAGAUACCCCGGUAGUCCCUGUCUCUUAUAA
rnacentral:rRNA from 1 species